AGUGAACGCUGGCGGUAGGCCUAACACAUGCAAGUCGAACGGCAGCACAGUAAGAGCUUGCUCUUACGGGUGGCGAGUGGCGGACGGGUGAGGAAUACAUCGGACUCUACUUUUUCGUGGGGGAUAACGUAGGGAAACUUACGCUAAUACCGCAUACGACCUACGGGUGAAAGCAGGGGAUCUUCGGACCUUGCGCGAUUGAAUGAGCCGAUGUCGGAUUAGCUAGUUGGCGGGGUAAAGGCCCACCACGGCGACGAUCCGUAGCUGGUCUGAGAGGAUGAUCAGCCACACUGGAACUGAGACACGGUCCAGACUCCUACGGGAGGCAGCAGUGGGGAAUAUUGGACAAUGGGCGCAAGCCUGAUCCAGCCAUACCGCGUGGGUGAAGAAGGCCUUCGGGUUGUAAAGCCCUUUUGUUGGGAAAGAAAAGCAGCAGGUUAAUACCCCGCUGUUCUGACGGUACCCAAAGAAUAAGCACCGGCUAACUUCGUG
rnacentral:rRNA from 1 species